rnacentral:rRNA from 1 species
GAUAAACGCUGGCGGCGUGCAUAACACAUGCAAGUCGAACGAAGGGGCGAAAGGGUGAGGAACACGUGAGUAACCUGCCUUAAACAAGGGGAGAGCCUUUGGAAACGAAGAAUAAUACACUAUAGUGUAAGAUGGACUUGCGUAUGAUUAGCUAGUUGGUGAGAUAAAAGCCCACCAAGGCGACGAUAAGUAGCCGGCUUGAGGGAGUGUACCGCCACAUUGGGACUGAGACACGUGCCAAACUCUACGGGAGGCAGCAGUGGGGAUUUUUGCACAAUGGGGGAAACCCUGAUGCCUCGGCGCCGCGUGAUUUAGUAGGCCUUCGGGUUGUAAAAAUCUUUUUUAUGGGAUGCAGUACCAUAAGAAUAAGGUCCGGCUAAAUACGUGCCAGCAGCCGCGGUAAUAC